rnacentral:rRNA from 1 species
GGUCAGGCGGGACUACCCGCUGAGUUUAAACAUAUAAAUAAGCGGAGGAGAAGAAACUUACAAGGAUUCACCUAGUAACGGCGAGCGAACCGGGAGCAGCCCAGCUUGAGAAUCGGGCGGCUGUGCCGUCCGAAUUGUAGUCUGGAGAGGCGUCCUCAGCGACGGACCGGGCCCAAGUCCCCUGGAAAGGGGCGCCUGGGAGGGUGAGAGCCCCGUACGGCCCGGACCCUGUCGCCCCACGAGGCGCCGUCAACGAGUCGGGUUGUUUGGGAAUGCAGCCCAAAUCGGGCGGUAGACUCCGUCCAAGGCUAAAUACAGGCGAGAGACCGAUAGCGAACAAGUACCGCGAGGGAAAGAUGGAAAGGACUUUGAAAAGAGAGUCAAAGAGUGCUUGAAAUUGUC